CGCACGUGAUGUUUUCCUCACGACGGUCUGCCGAGCCUCACAGUGAAUGGGGUUCUGACGAAACUGCCGUGUGGCCUAAACUGAUCCCUUUUG